rnacentral:rRNA from 1 species
UACGUAGGGGGCGAGCGUUAUUCGGAUUUACUGGGCGUAAAGCGCGUGUAGGCGGCUGGUUAAGCGUGAUGUGAAAUCUCCGGGCUCAACCCGGAAACUGCAUUGCGAACUGGCCUGGCUGGAGUGCAGGAGAGGGUAGUGGAACUGCGAGUGUAGAGGUGAAAUUCGUAGAUAUUCGCAAGAACACCAGUGGCGAAGGCGGCUCACUGGCCCGAUACUGACGCUGAGGUGCGAAAGCGUGGGGAGCAAACAGG